AGACCGAUAGCAAACAAGUACCGUGAGGGAAGAUUGAAAAGAACUUUGAAGAGAGAGUUCAACAGUACGUGAAACUGUGUGGUGGUAAACGGAGGGGUUCUCGAAGUCUCUGUGGGGAACUCAACCUUGGUGUCGGGCAGUCGGGCUGUAUCCGAUCAGCAAUGACGGUGCGGUCUGUCUGGCCUGGCUCUCGGGUGCAUUUCCCCCGCAGUUUACGGCAGGAACCGUUUGGUGUGGACCAAAGGCCUCGGGUGAAGUUGUCGGUUAUGCUGGCAGCCCUGGGUGUCCUGGCUCUGCGCCCGACGGGUACGUGAGAGGACUCGUAUAGCGAGCAACGCUCUGUUGCGGUUCUCAUCUCUCUGCCGAGUAGGUCGGUGACCCCUCCGACCCGUCUUGAAACACGGAC
rnacentral:rRNA from 1 species